GAUAGUUGGUGGGGUAACGGCCCACCAAGUCAGUGAUCGGUAGCCGGACUGAGAGGUUGAACGGCCACAUUGGAACUGAGAGACGGUCCAGACUCCUACGGGAGGCAGCAGUGGGGGAUAUUAGGCAAUGGGGGAAACCCUGACCUAGCAACGCCGCGUGAAGGAAGAAGGUCUUCGGAUUGUAAACUUCUUUGACGAGGGACGAUAAUGACGGUACCUCGAAAACAAGCCACGGCUAACUACGUGCCAGCAGCCGCGGUAAUACGUAGGUGGCGAGCGUUGUCCGGAUUUACUGGGUGUAAAGGGCGUGUAGGCGGAAUGGCAAGUCAGAUGUGAAAUACGGGAGCUUAACUCCCGGGCUGCAUUUGAAACUGCUGUUCUUGAGUGAUGGAGAGGUAAGCGGAAUUCCCGGUGUAGCGGUAAAAUGCGUAGAUAUCGGGAGGAACACCAGUGGCGAAGGCGGCUUACUGGACAUUAACUGACGCUGAGGCGCGAAAGUGUGGGGAGCGAACAGGAUUAGAUACCCUGGUAGUCCACACUGUAAACGAUGGAUACUAGGUGUGGGGGGACUGACCCCUUCCGUGCCGGAGUCAACACAAUA
rnacentral:rRNA from 1 species